CCGCGGCCCACCGUGCUGGCGUGUGCCGGCGGUCGUGUGCGCGCCUAGUCCCGUCAAGGCCCUCGCCCCUCGCCUCGCGCGCGCGCCUCGAUCGCCGCUUGGUCUCGGGGGCCUCUCUCUCUCUCUCUCUCUCUCUCUCUUUCUUUGUCCUUGUUCCCCGCGUCGACUCUUCUUUUUUCCCCUCUUUCUUUUUUUUUCCCCUCUCGGUCGCUCUCGUCUCUUGUGUCGGUUGCGUGAGAAGCGGCCAGCGACUCGUGUGCACAGAAAACCCAAAGAGACAACGCGGACGCGUG
rnacentral:lncRNA from 1 species